GACAAAAAAUAACGAUACGGGACUCAUCCGAGGCCCCGUAAUCGGAAUGAGAACACCCUAAAUCCUUUAACGAGGAUCUAUUGGAGGGCAAGUCUGGUGCCAGCAGCCGCGGUAAUUCCAGCUCCAAUAGCGUAUAUUAAAGUUGUUGCGGUUAAAAAGCUCGUAGUUGGUUCUGCGUGCCACGCUGUCGGUUCACCGCCUGCCGGUGCAACUGGCAUGCCGUGGCAUGUCCUGUCGGUGGCGGAUAGGCUUCGCGGCGUGCCCCAUGCGGCUUUACGUCAUGUGGGUUGUCGCUCCGCGUUGUCCUUGUACGCCGGCUCAAUCCUACCGCGGUGCUCUUUACCGAGUGUCGAGGUAGGCCGACAAUGUUUACUUUGAACAAAUUAGAGUGCUUAAAGCAGGCUCUUGAAUCAGCCUGAAUAGUGGUGCAUGGAAUAAUGGAACAGGACCUUGGUUCUAUUUUGUUGGUUUUCGGAAUCCAAGGUAAUGAUCAAUAAGGACAGGCGGGGGCAUUCGUAUUGCGACGUUAGAGGUGAAAUUCUUGGAUCGUCGCAAGACGCACUAGAGCGAAAGCAUUUGCCAAGUAUGUCUUAAUUGAUCAAGAACGAAAGUUAGAGGUUCGAAGGCGAUCAGAUACCGCCCUAGUUCUAACA
rnacentral:rRNA from 1 species